UACGUAGGUGGCGAGCGUUGUCCGGAUUUACUGGGCGUAAAGGGAGCGUAGGCGGACUUUUAAGUGAGAUGUGAAAUACCCGGGCUCAACUUGGGUGCUGCAUUUCAAACUGGAAGUCUAGAGUGCAGGAGAGGAGAAUGGAAUUCCUAGUGUAGCGGUGAAAUGCGUAGAGAUUAGGAAGAACACCAGUGGCGAAGGCGACUUACUGGACCGUAACUGACGCUGAGGCAUGAAAGCGUGGGGAGCAAACAGG
rnacentral:rRNA from 1 species